UAAUUGUUGCAGAGUCGACUGCAAAUUUGUAACGGCUUUUUAAUCCAGUGCAGUUUGGAUUUGAUGACGAGUGCGCCGGCCGAUCACAGCAGGCUUCGAGUGGGAAAGAGUUCUUUUUUUUCGGGCCUACUGCGAUGACUAUCGAACUACGGCAGUGGCGAAGGGCCAGUCGCUGAGACCACCGUUGAGGUGGUCGGGGACACCGCCAUCAUCGAGUGGAGCAUUACCAGCGACAGCCAUGGAAACGAGUAAGAAUAAAAAUAACAAAUAUUUUUAUGUUUUUAUUAUGCUUAAGGAUGUUCGAGACCUUCUGGUUCGGUUUUUUUUUCGUCCGUCUCUCCGAUACCGGGACCGGAAUUCAGCGAAGAAAGUGUGUGUAAUGAAAUCACGAUGAGCGUGGAAGGACCCGUUGCGGCACAGUACGCAGAAGAGAGGACAGUGACGGUAAAAUUUUACCGUUUUCGUUACUUUUCUUCACUUCAGAAAUUAACCUUUUUAUUGCUUUUUGAUAUCAAGAAACUUCUCAGCCAGAAACAGAGGCGGAAAGUGAAAUCCGGCUUUCGGGAAGAAACCGGCGGGCUGCACGUGAAACGAGACGUAAUAAAGAUUUAGAGACUUCCUGCUCCUCGCAUCCGGAGGAGAAGGAGAAGGAGGACAACGUUGCCACGGAAAAAAAGAUUUACGCUGAGAGAGAGAGAGGUAAGCGCAGGAUCUUGAUUAAAGUUUUACGAACGGAAGAACGAUUACUGCAGCGCAGGAAGUGCUGCGGAUGGCAAUUGAAUUACAAGUUGGUCACAGCACACAAGUUGCGAGGCGUAUACGAAGGCAAACGAGAUAACUCAGGUGUUAC